CUUACACACAUUUUUGGCAUUCUGUCCACCUCCCUUCUCUCUUUCUUUUUGCUUUGCUUUGGAGGUGGGCAUACUGCCAACAGAUAUGUGUUUA
rnacentral:pre_miRNA from 1 species